CCUUAUUGUGAAAGCCAAUGCUGAGGACGGGCUGCAGAAGUGGGAACCACCAGUAGUUCCUGCAACAGCCAAGGACAACCAGGAGAAGAAUCCAAACCAUGGGGUGGGCACAGGAGAAGAAAGCAGAAGAAAACAGUAGGUUUGGGACUGUCCUCAGUCAAAAAGCAUUAGCAGAGGAAGAAAUGCUCCAACCAGAAGAUCCACC